GCCUACAUCCAUACCACCCUGAACGCGCCUGAUCUCUUCUGCUCUUGGAAGCUAAGCAGGGUCGGGCCUGGUUAGUACUUGGAAGGGAGUUAUACUUCUUUAUAUGGGUUAAAGUUAAGAAUUAGUGGACU
rnacentral:rRNA from 1 species